ACUGGCAGCCAUAUCACCCUGUAGCCCAAGACUGGUUGCCCACUGAAGCUAAGCAGGGCUGAGCCUGGUCAGUACCUGGAUGGGAGACCUCCUGGGAAAAUUAGGUUGCUGCUGGAA
rnacentral:rRNA from 1 species